rnacentral:rRNA from 1 species
UACGUAGGGUGCAAGCGUUGUCCGGAAUUAUUGGGCGUAAAGAGCUCGUAGGCGGUCUGUUGCGUCGGCUGUGAAAACCCGAGGCUCAACCUCGGGCCUGCAGCCGAUACGGGCAGACUAGAGUUCGGCAGGGGAGACUGGAAUUCCUGGUGUAGCGGUGAAAUGCGCAGAUAUCAGGAGGAACACCGGUGGCGAAGGCGGGUCUCU